rnacentral:rRNA from 1 species
AGCUCCAAUAGCGUAUAUUAAAGUUGUUGCAGUUAAAAAGCUCGUAGUUGGAUUUGAGGACUAGAGUCAGUGGUGCGAUAUUUCUCGUCACUGCUGGCUCUGCCUACAUAGAUGGUGCCUGGCUCUGGUGCUCUUAACUGAGUGCCUUAGCUGCCCGUCAAGUUUACUUUGAAAAAAUUAGAGUGCUCAAAGCAGGCGUUAUGUCUGAAUAGUGGUGCAUGGAAUAAUGGAAUAGGACUUCUGUUCUAUUUUGUUGGUUUUCGGAAUACAGAAGUAAUGAUUAAAAGAGACAGUCGGGGGCAUUCGUAUUGUGGUGUUAGAGGUGAAAUUCUUGGAUCGCCGCAAGACGAACAACUGCGAAAGCAUUUGCCAAGCAUGUUUUCAUUAAUCAAGAACGAAA